rnacentral:rRNA from 1 species
ACUCCUACGGGAGGCAGCAGUGGGGAAUAUUGCACAAUGGGCGCAAGCCUGAUGCAGCCAUGCCGCGUGUGUGAAGAAGGCCUUCGGGUUGUAAAGCACUUUCAGUUGUGAGGAAGGUGGUGUCGUUAAUAGCGGCAUCAUUUGACGUUAGCAACAGAAGAAGCACCGGCUAACUCCGUGCCAGCAGCCGCGGUAAUACGGAGGGUGCGAGCGUUAAUCGGAAUUACUGGGCGUAAAGCGCAUGCAGGUGGUUUGUUAAGUCAGAUGUGAAAGCCCGGGGCUCAACCUCGGAACUGCAUUUGAAACUGGCAGACUAGAGUCUUGUAGAGGGGGUAGAAUUUCAGGUGUAGCGGUGAAAUGCGUAGAGAUCUGAAGGAAUACCAGUGGCGAAGGCGGCCCCCUGGACAAAGACUGACGCUCAGAUGCGAAAGCGUGGGGAGCAAACAGGAUUAGAUACCCUGGUAGCACAGAG